CUGGCAAACUUGGGCAGAACAGUUUGAAAAGACUGUCUUGGCCAAGCUUGAGGAAGGGAAUCAGGUUCAGGGUGAUAGGAGUGAAAACAGACAUGGUUUUGUACACUGGCAGAACUCUGAUGCUGAUCAGAAUUGUGAUAGUGAACGAGAAGCUCAGAGUGAUGGGAGUGAAAGUGAUUGCACUGUCCACUCUGAAGGCCAUGUGACUGCUAUGCCAUCUGCACUGUUAUACGGAUCUAAUUCCUCUUCAGCAGCCAGAUCGCAUAGACGUUUACCUAAACGCAGCGACACUAGAAACAGGAUUAAUAAAUCAAAUAUGCCUGUCUAUGAAACGCCUAUGGUUUAGUAAAUUCCUCAAAGAGACAGUACCACAAUUUUCUACAAGUUAAGGAAACAUAUCUGAACAUCUGGAAAAUGAUGAAAGCCAUGAAUUAAUUGGGCAUGUAUGAUGACAUCCAUACGAAAUGGUACAUUACAUGGACCUUUGAUUCAAUAUGCCAUAUUCAUCUGGAGAGUCUUCAAGCUAUACAGCUAAUGUCCUGAUCCAAGAUGAAAUAUGAGAUAAUCAUGGAAUAUGGUAAGUGUAACGGAUCACCUGACACCCCGAC